GUGGCUAUAGCUCAGUUGGUAGAGCCCUGGAUGUGAUUCCAGUUGUCGUGGGUUCGAAUCCCCCAUUAGCCACCCCA
rnacentral:tRNA from 1 species